AAAUUACUUACGUUAUAUUGACCGGCACCGCUGUGUCGGGCUGUGUACGUAGUGUAAACUUAGCUUCGCGGAUCCAUAUAUACUUGAAAAACAAGGAAUCCGGAUACUUUUACAAAUCCGGAAACUUUUGCUCUAGUGUAAACGUUAAAGACUAUAUAUAAGUUCUUUUUCUAUCUGGUAACAUUUAGUUUACGCUAUACUGCCUAUAGUGAUUCACAGCGGAGCAGCUCAUUGAAUAUUGUGAUGACAAAGAAUGAAAUAAUAGCAUUUGCCGGGUUUCUCUUGUUACAUCAUAAGCAAUAUCAUGUAAUUUUACAUAUAUUAAAUAUUAUUAUCACUAUAAGCUUUUAAUUUUACAUAUAUUAAAUAUUAUUAUCACUAUAAGCUUUUAAGUUUAUAGUGAUAAUAAUAUUUAAUAUAUGUAAAAUUACAUGAUAUUGCUUAUGAUGUAACAAGAGAAACCCGGCUAAUGCUAUUCUUUCAUUCUUUCAUUUUUUUAAAAAAAUUGUAUAUACUUAUUCAUAUUACAUAGGCUCAAUUAACAUAGCUUACAUGCACGAGUAGGCAAAGAGUUUAAAGAUUAAGAUGUCCCACAACUGUCAAUUUGUGGUUUACUGUCUGACUCUCGGGUUAGAUAAAAUACCUGGUAAACUUUUAAAAGAUACAGAGCUGUUGUCACUCCAUUUCUUAAUCUUAUCUUCAACUUAUCCUUGGCCGAAGGAAUAUUUCCUAGUGAUUGGAAGAACGCAAGAGUAUCGCCUAUCUAUAAAUCAGGAAAUCGAGAUGAAUGCAUUCGCAGCAAUUAUAGGCCAAUAUCUAUUUUGGCU